rnacentral:rRNA from 1 species
AUACGGAGGGUGCAAGCGUUACUCGGAAUCACCGGGCGUAAAGCGCGCGCAGGCGGCUAUUUAAGUUGGAUGUGAAAGCCUACGGCUCAACCGUAGAACUGCAUCCAAAACUAUUUAGCUAGAGUGUGGGAGAGGAAGAUGGAAUUAGUUGUGUAGGGGUAAAAUCCGUAGAGAUAACUAGGAAUACCAAAAGCGAAGGCAAUCUUCUGGAACACUACUGACGCUGAGGCGCGAAAGCGUGGGGAGCAAACGGGAUUAGAAACCCUAGUAGUCC